rnacentral:piRNA from 1 species
UAACAUUGGUGCAAUCAUUGU